CCUGGAGAUCCGAUGGAUGCAGUCGAUGGCUUGGGGCCUGGUGUGAGUUGGUAUCAGGAGGCUGGAGAGUCUGUGCUGGGAGCCAGGAGGUGAUGGCCAAGGUCAAGCUCAAGGCUGAAGCUCCUCCAAAGCAGCAGAGGGUGCAGCUGCCAUCUUUCUGAAUUUCCUGUUGUCUUUGUGCUACUGCACCAGUCUAUUGACCUGCCACCUCACCAGGGCGCUCUACAAGUUUUUGCCUACUUCCCUGAGAAGAAACAUUUUAUUUUUUCUCUGCUGUAAAUAAUCUCUUGUGAGCUCUAAUCCCAAUCCUCUAAGAAAAUUUCUCCAGGAUAUUUUGCACUUGUUAUUUUCUUUGUUAACUAUCAAGCUAUUUAUGCCACACAUGUUUAGGACUGAGUGAAAAACAACCACUGGCCAAUACUUUGUGUUUCAAGUGACAUCAUAGCUGCUGCACAACUCAGCAACAACCUCUACUCUGCCUUAGGCUGUGCUGUUGAGAGCUUCCUUUUCAAGUUCCCUUUUGUCGAAGGUUUCCCAUAUUCCCAAAAUAGUGUCCAACAGUUCCCAUAUUUCCAAUAUGGUGAAAUGUUGACAUCAGCAGCAUCAGUUGGCUUUCCCUGCCUUAUCUGUGGCCAAGGUCGUAUCUUUUCAAAAUUCAAAGAUUGUAUUCAAUAAUUCUCUGUUUUGAAACUGCAACAUUUCAUUUGGAAUUUCUGCUUUGUUCCUGUGUACAGUUUCUGCACUGGUCAGCUUGUGCUCUGUUAGCAAAUGUAAGAUCAACUGAAAAGGGAUAAGAGAAUGGGAAAAUGUCACAUUCUGAUUAGUUUGUAAGAUGGGAGCAACAAGUCUGUUCACCACAUUGUUUGGUUUACUACUGAAUGAAUAAGGACCUGGUGGCUGAGUUCUAGGAUCAAUGUCUAAACUGGCAUAAAUUUUUUAUGCCAUAUUUUGAUCCAUCACUUUUCCAUAAUUAUUUUACAUUCCUGGGAUCACCUUGAAAAAUCUGCACUAAAUACAGCAGACCUGUGAAUGCUUUCCAUUCAGCUAGUGAGGUGUCACAAUAAAUACAUAUUUGAAUACU